rnacentral:lncRNA from 1 species
UGGGAAUACAUUGGUUUGUGUUGCCCUUAGGUCUUGGUCAUGUUGUAGAGGUCGUGGGUGUUGGUUGUGACGCGGCUUGGUAGCUCCAUGAUUUGCCUCAUUGCCAUAUGCAUGGGGUUGAUCUAGGUGAUGCAUGUAUCAUAGUACGUAUCGGUGCUAAUCUUUGUAAUUAGCGUUGUAAUACUCGAAAAGCUCUGUAUGCGGCUUC